CAGAUUGAACGCUGGCGGCAGGCCUAACACAUGCAAGUCGAGCGGAUGAAGGGAGCUUGCUCCUGGAUUCAGCGGCGGACGGGUGAGUAAUGCCUAGGAAUCUGCCUGGUAGUGGGGGAUAACGUCCGGAAACGGGCGCUAAUACCGCAUACGUCCUGAGGGAGAAAGUGGGGGAUCUUCGGACCUCACGCUAUCAGAUGAGCCUAGGUCGGAUUAGCUAGUUGGUGGGGUAAAGGCCUACCAAGGCGACGAUCCGUAACUGGUCUGAGAGGAUGAUCAGUCACACUGGAACUGAGACACGGUCCAGACUCCUACGGGAGGCAGCAGUGGGGAAUAUUGGACAAUGGGCGAAAGCCUGAUCCAGCCAUGCCGCGUGUGUGAAGAAGGUCUUCGGAUUGUAAAGCACUUUAAGUUGGGAGGAAGGGCAGUAAGUUAAUACCUUGCUGUUUUGACGUUACCAACAGAAUAAGCACCGGCUAACUUCGUGCCAGCAGCCGCGGUAAUACGAAGGGUGCAAGCGUUAAUCGGAAUUACUGGGCGUAAAGCGCGCGUAGGUGGUUCAGCAAGUUGGAUGUGAAAUCCCCGGGCUCAACCUGGGAACUGCAUCCAAAACUACUGAGCUAGAGUACGGUAGAGGGUGGUGGAAUUUCCUGUGUAGCGGUGAAAUGCGUAGAUAUAGGAAGGAACACCAGUGGCGAAGGCGACCACCUGGACUGAUACUGACACUGAGGUGCGAAAGCGUGGGGAGCAAACAGGAUUAGAUACCCUGGUAGUCCACGCCGUAAACGAUGUCGACUAGCCGUUGGGAUCCUUGAGAUCUUAGUGGCGCAGCUAACGCGAUAAGUCGACCGCCUGGGGAGUACGGCCGCAAGGUUAAAACUCAAAUGAAUUGACGGGGGCCCGCACAAGCGGUGGA
rnacentral:rRNA from 1 species